rnacentral:rRNA from 1 species
UACGAAGGGGGCUAGCGUUGUUCGGAAUCACUGGGCGUAAAGCGCACGUAGGCGGAUCUUUAAGUCAGGGGUGAAAUCCCGAGGCUCAACCUCGGAACUGCCUUUGAUACUGGGGAUCUCGAGUCCGGGAGAGGUGAGUGGAACUGCGAGUGUAGAGGUGAAAUUCGUAGAUAUUCGGCAAGAACACCAGUGGCGAAGGCGGCUCACUGGCCCGGACUGACGCUGAGGUGCGAAAGCGUGGGGAGCAAACAGG